rnacentral:lncRNA from 1 species
AGUACAAGUUCUUUCCCUGUAAAUAAGAUUUCUGGUCAGGUUCCUAGAAAACUGCAGGUUUACAGCUGAAGGGAGAAUAGCAGUAGUUAAUGUCCCUGGAAUACUGUUUCCCUGAGGUCGAGUGAGGGUUUAUUACCAGAUCCCUGCAUAAGGACCUCUUCUCCCUUUUCAUCUCAUUAUUGUCUGUCUUCCAGACUUCUCUUGGUACCCACUCUAAACCUUAUUAAUCCAUAGAGGACAGACUACAGCUGCUGCACACAUCUGGAUCUCUACUGAAGUCAUGUAUUCUUAGCUGAGCAUGAUGUCUCCUGACUGUCCAUCCCAGGAUGCUGAGAGUCUCACUGGAUCAAUCGUUCUUCAUCACAAAUGGCACAUUCAGGAGGUGAUAUAAGGGAACUUACUAAUAGGACUACAGUUUUGGAAAAGGUUAAUAGGAAAGAAAGAAGGGGAUCAAUGUUGACAUAUGUACUACAGGGCUGCUGUCACCCUAUGGCCUAAAACAGUAAGGAGAAUGUUCACUGGGACUUCGUGGUCUGCCUCACUACAGCGAAGGGCUGGUAUACAGAUCAUCAAGUUUUAUCAAUCUAAGACACAUAAGGGAUCUGAAUUAUACUUCUGACCAUAACCCAUGUGUCUCAGAGGCUCAGUUUGCCCGGAAAAUGUAUUCAUUUGUGUUUAGCUUCCUGAGACAUAAGGAGUAGCUG